CAAUAAGCGGAGGAAAAGAAACCAACAGGGAUUGCCCCAGUAACGGCGAGUGAAGCGGCAACAGCUCAGAUUUGAAAUCUGGCCCUCAGGGCCCGAGUUGUAAUUUGCAGAGGAUGCUUUUGGCGAGGUGCCUUCCGAGUUCCCUGGAACGGGACGCCAUAGAGGGUGAGAGCCCCGUCUGGUUGGACACCGAGCCUCUGUAAAGCUCCUUCGACGAGUCGAGUAGUUUGGGAAUGCUGCUCUAAAUGGGAGGUAUAUGUCUUCUAAAGCUAAAUACCGGCCAGAGACCGAUAGCGCACAAGUAGAGUGAUCGAAAGAUGAAAAGCACUUUGAAAAGAGGGUUAAACAGUACGUGAAAUUGUUGAAAGGGAAGCGCUUACGACCAGACUUGGACCCGGCGAAUCAUCCAGCGUUCUCGCCGGUGCACUUCGCCGGGCUCCAGGCCAGCAUCAGUUCGCGCCGGGGGACAAAGGCUCGGGGAAUGUAGCUCCUCCGGGAGUGUUAUAGCCCCUUGCGCAAUGCCCUGGGGCGGACUGAGGUUCGCGCAUCUCGCAAGGAUGCUGGCGUAAUGGUCGUCAGCGACCCGUCUUGAAACACGGACCAAGGAGUCGUCUUCGUAUGCGAGUGUUCGGGUGUUAAACCCCUACGCGUAAUGAAAGUGAACGCAGGUGAGAGCUUCGGCGCAUCAUCGACCGAUCCUGAUGUUCUCGGAUGGAUUUGAGUAGGAGCAUACGGGGCCGGACCCGAAAGAAGGUGAACUAUGCCUGUAUAGGGUGAAGCCAGAGGAAACUCUGGUGGAGGCUCGCAGCGGUUCUGACGUGCAAAUCGAUCGUCAAAUAUGGGCAUGGGGGCGAAAGACUAAUCGAACCUUCUAGUAGCUGGUUUCCGCCGAAGUUUCCCUCAGGAUAGCAGUGUUGAUCUCAGUUUUAUGAGGUAAAGCGAAUGAUUAGGGACCCGGGGG
rnacentral:rRNA from 1 species